rnacentral:ncRNA from 1 species
AGUCAAGCGAAUAAGAGCUUACGACGGAUACCUUGGUGUUCAGAAGCGAUGAAGGGCGUGGCUACCGACGAUACGUUUCGGGGAACUGGAAGCAAGUUUUGAUCCGAAAAUACCCGAAUAAGGAAACUUCAAUAGAACUUCCUCUUGAAUACAUAAAGAGGAAAGAGCAAACCUAGUGAAUUGAAACAUCUUAGUAACUAGAGGAAAAGAAAGCAAAAGCGAUUCUCUUAGUAGCGGCGAGCGAAAAGGGAUUAGUCUAAACUCUAUUAUAGAGGGUUGUGGGACAACGUUAUUCAAAUAGACGUGUUAGAUGAAACAGCUGGAAUGCUGUGCCAUAGUGGGUGAAAGCCCCGUAAUCGAAAG